AUUUUUAGGAGCCAUUAAUCUCUACACUCUUAAUUAUCUUAUUAAGCUCCAUGCCAAAUCCAAAUCUCUUUUCAGCUUUCACUAGUUCAUUGUGCAAAACCUAGUCGCUUCUUUAACAGCCAUGCCUCCUUUCACUUUCAAAACUGUUACUGUGAAAACAACACCAACCAAAAUGAAUGCAUAAAUGCAAACUAUGAAACCACAUUAUAUGUCAUAUGAGUAGCCUUGGGUGGGGCUCCAUGAGUCUUCCAAGCCUUUAAAAAAAAAAAAAACUUUAAAAGGUUUUGCCCAUUUUGGUAUUGUGUUUUCUUCUCGAUCGACUACCUUCAUUCCCACCAUACACCCAGAUGCUUCUCCUAGACAGCAGUUGUCUGACAUUUCUCCUUUUGUGGUUGUUUUAGGGAAAAACUUAAAGUGGAUAUGAGAAGUGAAGAAAGUGAUCAUAGGAGAAAAUCAUCUCAGGUAAAAC
rnacentral:lncRNA from 1 species